UACGGGGGGGGCAAGCGUUGUUCGGAAUUACUGGGCGUAAAGGGUUCGUAGGUGGCCCGCUAAGUCAGACGUGAAAUCCCUCAGCUCAACUGAGGAACUGCGUCUGAGACUGGCAGGCUCGAGUGCAGGAGAGGAACGCGGAAUUCCAGGUGUAGCGGUGAAAUGCGUAGAUAUCUGGAGGAACACCGGUGGCGAAGGCGGCGUUCUGGACUGCUACUGACACUGAACAACGAAGGCCAGGGGAGCAAACGGG
rnacentral:rRNA from 1 species